rnacentral:rRNA from 1 species
CCUGGCGGCGAGUGGCGAACGGGUGAGUAAUAUAUCGGAACGUACCCAAGAGUGGGGGAUAACGUAGCGAAAGUUACGCUAAUACCGCAUACGAUCUAAGGAUGAAAGCAGGGGAUCUUCGGACCUUGUGCUCCUGGAGCGGCCGAUAUCUGAUUAGCUAGUUGGUGAGGUAAAGGCUCACCAAGGCUACGAUCAGUAGCUGGUCUGAGAGGACGACCAGCCACACUGGAACUGAGACACGGUCCAGACUCCUACGGGAGGCAGCAGUGGGGAAUUUUGGACAAUGGGGGCAACCCUGAUCCAGCAAUGCCGCGUGAGUGAAGAAGGCCUUCGGGUUGUAAAGCUCUUUUGUCAGGGAAGAAACAGCAGCUCUAACACAGUCUGCGAAUGACGGUACCUGAAGAAUAAGCACCGGCUAACUACGUGCCAGCAGCCGCGGUAAUACGAAGGGUGCAAGCGUUACUCGGAAUUACUGGGCGUAAAGCGUGCGUAGGUGGUUGUUUAAGUCUGCUGUGAAAGCCCUGGGCUCAACCUGGGA